UUGUAGUAGCAGACAAUGCACACAGACUUGUCCCCUCACCUGCAUUCCGAGGAAUGCAACAACAUUAUAGCAUUGAUGAAGCAGUGCUACGAAGAGAACAAAUGGGCAAAGUUCAUUGGGGCCUGCAAUGACGUCGACGUUGCAAUGAGGAGGUGUUUAAAAAAAGAGCGACUAGAAAAGCGUGCGAAGAACUACGACAAAUCGUACGCGAAGCGAUUUCGCGAGAAACAGUCGUGAAGCUUGCCCUUGUUUAGUGUAUUGUAGCAGAAAAAUGGCAUAAAACAUCGUAUGCUUCCUU
rnacentral:lncRNA from 1 species